CAGGAAGUAUGGCUUCAGAUACUUUCUAGCUAUGUGAUUCUGAGUAAAUCACUUUAAACUUUGUCCACCUCAAUCUCCUCAUAUGUAAAAUGAGAAAAGAUUUUUUUCCUGACAGUUUUUAUGAGGAUAAAACAAUACAAUAUUAGUAAAACAUCUUGAAAACUUUAGAGUGCUAUAUAAAUACUAACUCUUAUUAUUGUGUUUAUUAUUAAUUGUCAGAUUUCCAAGUGAGAUCAUAAGACUGAUGAGGACAAUGGAGCAGAGGUCACAGAUUUGUUGGGGAGGGCACAUGACCCCAUUCUGCAAUAAAAGUCUCUUCAAUCAUGUGCUCUUAAAUGCAAACUCAUCUGGAGGACAAAGGGAUAUAGGUUGAAUAGGCUGCUUCUGGACAGUACCCUCUACUUUCUGAAGUCCUAGGGUAUUAGAUUUAGAACUAGAGGAGACAUCACAUGAGUUCUAGUUUAAUUCUGUCCCCCUCCAACAUUUUACAAACAUCUUAUUUUGAUUAAUAGGUUAACUCAGAACUGUCUGUUCAUACCAAUUCUUAAAUUCUAAUAGCUGAUAAAACUGGUUUUGAAGUAUAUGAGAAGAUUAUUUUGAACUUUUUAAAAAGUGCAUUAUACUUAAAAAAAAAGAAAGGUGGGAUGGGGAAGAAAAAUGUAAAUCAAUCAUACAAUACAGAAGUCAGGCCUAGAAAAAAUCUUAGCAAGAAUCUUAUCCAAGGUCAUCCCUUCAUUUUACAGAUAAGAAAACUCUGAAGUCCAGAAAGGUUAAAUAACUUGCCAGAUCCAGAUAGAUCAGGAUUUAAACUCCGGGCCCUUUGAGAAUGCCCAAGUUAAUAUUCUCCCCUUCCACAGUACCAUACUGGGCAAAUUCAGUGAGACUAGGACCAUAGGAAGGGACCCGCUAUUGGAUUCUUUCUACUAGAGGAAAUUCAUUCUUCCUUCUCCCCCCACACCUCCCCACCAAGGAUAUUUUUCUGGCUUUAACCUUUAGUCUGACCCUGAAUACAAGUGGUCCAAGUCAGCAUUGCAUUAUUAACAGAAGCUCUCAUUAGUGUAUGUAUAUAUAAUACAUAGAGUUCAAAGAAGAUCAAAGAUUUAUGGGAGAAUUGUAAAUUACAGUUCAUCCAUCUACCAUUUAGUCUAUACAAUUCUUUUAAAGCCUCUCCCACCUGCUAAGCCACAUCCACUGACAAAUAAAAAGGGUACAAAACACGCUUCAUUUCUCACAUUGCUUAGAACAAGAUUUCUAGUAUAGCUUUCCUCCCGCCUUCAUGAGAAAGAGAAAGGAUAUUUCUAUUAAGUAGUCUCUUAUGAAACUUAGCAAGGGUUUGAAGCUCAGGGCCCUAAACCAAGACUUAUUACAAUUACUUCUUGCAUUUCAAGUUAUAGAGACAGAUUUCCCCAACAUAAAGUUAUUGAUAAAGUGGCAUCUAGAAAGAAGUCGAUUCAGGGCACAAUCAGAAUCAACCCUUUAACCCAAACACAAAUCACCUUUUUUUUUUUAAAUGAGUCAUCUCUCUAAGCUGUUGUCUCAUGGCUAAAGAGUCAAGAAAUAAAUAAAAUUGCCAUAUGAUGUGGUGUAAUGGAAAGAACACUGCAUUGGGUCCAGAAGACCUGGUUUCAAAUGUUAGCUCUGUUGCUUAUUCUCUUGAUGAUAUUAGACCAAAAUUUCAGACUCUCUGGACUUCCUCAUCUGUAAAAUAGCAUCUCUCUCCAUACUUCUCCUCCUCCCACCCUUUCUCUCUCACACCUCUCCCCCCACAACAGCUGGUGGGAAAUUGUCAAAGAUAUAGUCACAAGUGCUAUUUUGGGAACUGUCCUUGGUGCCUGGUCACUUGAUAGUGUAUCCAGGGGACUAGAGCAUUACUGAUCUUUCCCUAGUCCAACCUAGAGGGAAGAGAAAAGUGUGUGUGUGUGUGUGUGUACACACACACACACACACACAUCCUUCCAGUUUGAGAUCCUAUGAUCCAUGAUUGAUUCACAUAUUUCUCCCCAUGCCUAAUCUUCAUUUUGAAAAAUAAAUACAUCCUUUAAAAAACGGGCUCUUUCCUAAACUACUUCAUUGUAGUUUUAAUCAGUAUCAGGGAUGAUUGUUUAAGUAUUGUUAAGAACAGAGAUAUAAAUUAUUCUGUUAACAAAUCAGAUGUUCCAUCACUGAUCUCUUCAAUAGCUCUGGAUAAGAUGUAAACGAUCCUGCUGAGGAAGGAAAUUAUGAUCUCAUUUGAUUCUGAGACUCAUGUCUGUCCACAACCACAUAUCAAUUUAGCUGAACAAUUUCUUCCACAUUUUCAUGGUAGACUAUCUGUAAAAGGGAUAGGUAUUUGGAAAGGUGAAAAAGGGAGGAUUAUCUAAAUAAAUGCAAGUGAUACUUUGAAUUUGGACAUAACUAAUAAAAGACUGGGAAUCUCAGGAGAGAGUCUAGUUUCGGGACCAUCUCAGAUUAUUUCUUUCUCCACUGAGCCUUUUGAGGUGACAGAACUACAUUUAGUAUUUUGAGAGAGAAGGAGGAGGACAGAUAUUUUGGAAAUCACAGGAGUCAAACACUACAUUCUGUCUAUGUGAGUCAUUUCCUCUCAUUCUUAUUAACCUUGGGAAGAUCCCAAGGCCAUAUGGGCAAGCCAGCAUCUGCUGAAUAAAAACAAAACAGGAAAAAGGGAAUUCAUAUGAACCAUAAGAAUAAGGGGCUAUAAACUAUGUUCUUAUAGAUUGAUUUAAUUUCACUCAAAGGAUCAGGUUUGCUUAGGGAGGGGCUAUUCAGGGAGAUGUCAGCAUUGACCUAAAAAUGGUUAAAUCCUUAACUAUUUCUCUUUCAAAGAAACUUUUUUUAUUGGCUAGAUGUAUGUUCUCCUUAUAU